CGUGGAUAAAACCCGAAACCGCUCUUUUGAUGCUUUUGCACGGACGCUUCUUGCAUGGUGGGAGGAUAUUGUGCUUAAUCCUAUUUCAUGUGUCAAGGCAAAGCAGUUUAGGCGCACUCUAUAUUACAACUGUACGAAAGGCGAAUAACUAUUUAUGACAAG
ncrna:Lachnospiraceae bacterium 7_1_58FAA RT-2 RNA